GCCCACGCGGGACCGUGCUGCCGAGCAGGGCGCUUGCUGGCCACCCGGUUCCUGCGGCCGCUGCGUCCUGGAGAAUCUGCAAAACAGCCCUUCCAAGCAUAUAUUUUUAAACAUGGAGAACAAGACAUGAAAGCUACAGCAUGUUUUAAAACAUCUGCAGGGCUGGCAAGAUGGUUCACUUGUAAAGAUGCUUGCCACCAAACCUAUGCAGAGCCAAUCUCCAGAUCCCACUGGUGGAAGGAGAGAAUCAAAUCCUGGAAGCCACCCUGACUACCACACGCACACCACGACAGCACUGCCAUAAGCACUCUGCCUUACUUUGAAAAAACCCUGAAAUAUGAACAUCAGAAUUCUUGACUGGAUGAGUAAGUAUACAUCGCUGACUAAGGGGACAGCAGGAGCCCCACCCCAGGGUUAUGCAGUUCAGGGAAAACAGAAGGCACGUUGACCAAGCUCCACUUGUCCUGCUGCUGUGUGAACCAAGGCUUACAGAGCACUCUGGCUGGCCCUGAGCUCAUCUGGAAGCCCAGUCAAUUCUUGAACUUUUGAGAGUCUCCUGACUCAGCCUCCUAAUCAGCUGUGGCCUCCGCCUUCCUAGAAAAUUUUUAUGAAAACCAGAUGUAAGUUGUUCCUAAACCAUCAUGAAAUGGCCUUUAGUCCAUAGUAUUAUGGAUCAAGGUAUAGAGUGAAGGCUGGACUCUUAACACAAGGCUGUAUUUCAGUGGGCAUUCUUUCUCCGUUUACAUCUCCAUGAUGACACCUCAAAAGCGAAGAAUCACUGCACCUAAACCUGUGAAUCUAUUCAGUUCCUCAGGAGACAACACUACAACCAAUCACUGCUCUAAGACUUACCAAAAGUCUUUCUCUAAAAGCUUCCAAAUUUAAUGUAUAGGGACAGGGGGAUAAAAAUUUAAAAAAAUUUUGGUAGGUUUGUAACACUAAAUAAAUGCACAAUGAAAG